UGAGAUGGAGUCUCGCUGUUUCACCCAGGCCAGACUGCAGUGGCGCUGUCCCUCCCGGGUUCACGCCAUUCUCCUGCCUCAGCCUCCGGAGUAGCUGGGACUACAGGCGCCCGCCACCGCGCCCGGCUAAUUUUUUAGUAGAGACAGGGUUUCACCGUGUUAGCCAGGAUGAGUCCCGAUCUCCUGACCUCGUGAUCCAUCCGCCUCGGCCUCCCAAAGUGCUGGGGUUACAGGCAUGAGCCACCGCGCCCGGCCCAUCCUAACAUUAUUCUUCAGGGCAAUAAUUAGAGGUAAUACUUUUAGUGUCCUGGCUAAAAAUUCCUUGCUGUACAAGAUUGCUGUCAACAAAUGCUAAUCACCAAUCAUGGAAGAAUUGCUUGACUAAUACGAAAGGAAGCAUGGUUUGCCCAGUGUGGGCUCCCUACACUCAAAGCAUUGGCUACACUGCAGACAGAAACUGUACAGAAGUGGAUGGCAUGCUAACAGAGAUGAGAAAUGACAACUGACAUCUAACAACAACGUAUGGAAACUAGUUUUAUGGAAACUAUUUCCCAUAAAUAAGAAUUGUAAGGUGCACAUGUUUCCAUAGCAACCUCUUCUGUUGUGUUCAAUCCUGUGAAACAGAAAUAUAAAAACAAACACAACCAUGUAUGUGUGGAGAGCCAUUCUGAUGACCUGCAGAAUAGGGAAUGUAGAGUGCAAUUUCUAGACCUUUCUCUUCCAGGUUUAUUGUUUCUCCUAUCCUAGGAAGCCUCUCAUUUAAUAAUAUGGUUUUGGCCAUUUGUGGCAUUCACAUUGGCACCACAAAUACUAAUAGUUUUAGUAACCAACUGGUAGAGUGUUACCAUUUGCUAGGCACUGGGCUAAACCCUUCAUCAUCUUUGUAAACUCUCACCAUAAACCUAUGGGACAAAUAAUUUUAUUAACCUCAUUUUACAGACAAGGACACUGAGGUAGAGAGUUGUUAAAUGACUUUUCCAAGAUCACUUCGCUAAGAAAAAAACAGAGGCAGGGCAAAAUCUUGAUGUCAGUUCCUUCUGACUCAAACAUUCAUGCUUUAUGUUGGUAAGUUCAGUAGUCAAGAAGUUCAUUGCUUCCUCUUAGGUAUUUUUACUAAAAUUUAGGAGUGUGGCCAUCAGAAGUGUUGCCUCUGCUGAGGUGAUAUUGUCCAAGCAGCAGGUCUGUACCUACUGAGGUUUGGAUAAAAUGAGGUGCCCUCUUUAAAAAUUAAGCCCUAGGUAUUCUUAUUUUACUUUUGCUUUAAAAUAUUCAUAGGAAAGCAAUGGUAAAGGAGGGGACUUGGGGGAGAGCAGCACUGGUCUUUUAUAUCCAUCUACUGCCUCCCACCUUUACCCCCCAGCUUGUGCCAUCAGGCAAGAGAGUGCUGAAGUUCUAGAGCCACAGAAAGAGGUAAGAGAAAGUACGAUAGAGGAUAGAGUGGCUCAAGAGGAAAAGGAAAACACAGUGUGACUGUGGGACAAAAGCAAAUCUCUGUUACCCUUGGUCUUGAGCACUCCUUAAGAGGCGUUCAGAGAGAGGAAAACCCAAGAAGGCCUAGGAUGCUGCUACUCUGGCAGGUGGGGGUGUGCAGGCCUGACUAUUAGGUAGUUGAUAUAAUUAUGAUCUCAGCUAUGCUAACUGGCCAGAGAAGCCUGGACAUCCAUGUUAGUCUUGCAAGUCCUCCUUUUAAAAGAAAACAAGAAGUGUAUUAGUCAGUUCUCAUGCUGUUAGAAAAGACUGCCCAAGACUGGGUAAUGUAUAAAGGAUAGAGGUUUAAUUGACUCACAGUUUCACAUGGCAGAGAACUUAACUUACAAUCAGUGGAAGGGGAAGCAAACACCUUCUUCUUCACAUAAUGGCCCCUUAAAACAACCAUCAGAUCUCGUGAGAGCUCACUUAUGAUAAUGAGAAAAGCAGCAUGGGGAUAACUGCCCUCAUGAUUAAAUUACCUCCCACCAGCUCCCUCCCAUGACACAUAGGGAUUAUGGGAACUACAAUUCAAGAUGAGAUUUGGGUGGGGACACAGCCAAACCAUAUCAAGCAGGGUGUGGUGGCAUGUGCCAUGUGCCUAUAGUCCCAGCUACUUAGGAGGCUGAGGUGGGAGGAUCAUUUGAGCCCAGGAGUUCAAGGCCAGCCAGCCUUGGUAACAUAGUGAGACCCUGUCUCUAAAUAAUAAUAAUACGUAAAAAAGGAAAAAUGAAAAAAAAGAAGCAGAGCAGAACUCUACCAAGCAGAUGAACUUUAUAUGAAAUGCUAGUUUAAAGGUCUUUUCUAUGACAUGAAAUAUAAAGCAAACAAAGUCUAAGUAAUAAUGCAUUAUUUUUUCUCAUCAACCUACAGCUGUUAUCAAUAACUGUUAAUUAUUAUGCCACAUUUUUGGCAGUGAUAAAGCAGGCAAAUAAAAUGGAUCAGGAUUGGGAAUGAAGCCAGACUGUUGGGCAGAACGAUUUAUGCAGGACACAGAUCAGAGAAUGCACGAGUUUACGUAGGCCAGGUGUAAAGUUAUCAAGAGUCCUAAAGGCAAGACUAAGUCAAAGAGCAAUGUACCAGAUCUACCUGGAAGAUGCAAGAAUGUUUGAGAUUUGACUAAUUGUCCUGUGGGGAAAAUUUAGAGAUGUAAGCUGAGAAGGAAAUGCAGGUUAGAUCGACUAGCCUGCAUUAGUUAGAUCAAUUAACUAACAUUAGUUAGUAGUAGAAGGGUAAUGGUGUAAGAACUAGAGUCAGUGUCUAAAGUUGCAAGCAGAGCAGAUGACACAGGAAGAAGUCAAUUCAAGCAUAAGGCUUGGGCUAGCGAUAAACAUGAGAAAAAGAGAAGGGAGCAUUGGAACUCAACAAAGAUAUAUUAAUCUACAUGAAUCCAUAAUCGACUGUUGAUUUUUGGAAAGGAAAUUUUUGCCUUCUGAAUCCAUUCGUAGUAGCCUUUCUCUUCUAUUAUGGGCAGGUAUGGGUAAGAGUCAAAGAUACCCAUGAAUAGCUUUGGUUUGUGUACUUCCUAAAAUAAUUUGUAAAACUGUGCAACUGCUCAUAAUUUUAAGUUGAUAGCUAAAGAUUUUUCCCCUAUGUUUCAAUAAUUGCAAUGGAUAUAAUUAUGCAUUGAAAAUAUGGACAUUUUAAAAUAAAAUUGUUACAUCACUCUUAAAUACAGUCAGUUAAAUCUAAACAACUAAGCUAGUUGAUAUCCACUACAAUUCGUUUUAUGAAUACAUGAAUCACUUCUGCAAUAACAGUCAGAAAUUUUAUAUUUCUCAUUAAACAGAUGUUGCCACUUAAAUUCCACCAAAGAAUUUAAUUUACUAUGUUUUGUGUUUGAAAGUCCUUUUAAAAUAUGAACAGACACUUCUCAAAAGAAGACAUACAAGCAGCCAACAAACAGAUGAAAAAAUGCUCAAUGUCACUAAUCAGAGAAAUACAAAUCAAAACCACAAUGAGAUACUAUCUCAUACCAGUCAGAAUGACUGUUAUUAAAAAGUCAAAAAACAACAGAUGU
rnacentral:lncRNA from 1 species